CGUGUAGGCGGGAGUACAAGUCAGAUGUGAAAUACCGAGGCUUAACCUCGGGGCUGCAUCUGAAACUGUGUUUCUUGAGUGUCGGAGAGGAAAGUGGAAUUCCCAGUGUAGCGGUGAAAUGCGUAGAUAUUGGGAGGAACACCAGUGGCGAAGGCGACUUUCUGGACGAUAACUGACGCUGAGGCGCGAAAGCGUGGGGAGCAAACAGGAUUAGAUACCCUGGUAGUCCACGCUGUAAACGAUGGAUACUAGGUGUAGGAGGUAUCGACCCCUUCUGUGCCGGAGUUAACACAAUAAGUAUCCCACCUGGGGAGUACGGCCGCAAGGUUGAA
rnacentral:rRNA from 1 species